GAUGAGCGCUGGCGGCGUGCCUAAUACAUGCAAGUCGAGCGAACAGACGAGGAGCUUGCUCCUCUGACGUUAGCGGCGGACGGGUGAGUAACACGUGGAUAACCUACCUAUAGGACUGGGAUAACUUCGGGAAACCGGAGCUAAUACCGGAUAAUAUAUUGAACCGCAUGGUUCAAUAGUGAAAGACGGUUUUGCUGUCACUUAUAGAUGGAUCCGCGCCGCAUUAGCUAGUUGGUAAGGUAACGGCUUACCAAGGCAACGAUGCGUAGCCGACCUGAGAGGGUGAUCGGCCACACUGGAACUGAGACACGGUCCAGACUCCUACGGGAGGCAGCAGUAGGGAAUCUUCCGCAAUGGGCGAAAGCCUGACGGAGCAACGCCGCGUGAGUGAUGAAGGUCUUCGGAUCGUAAAACUCUGUUAUUAGGGAAGAACAAAUGUGUAAGUAACUAUGCACGUCUUGACGGUACCUAAUCAGAAAGCCACGGCUAACUACGUG
rnacentral:rRNA from 1 species